rnacentral:lncRNA from 1 species
CUUGGGAGCGGAAUGGCUGGAUCAUAUAGUAGAUUGAUGUUUAACUUUUCGAGGCACUGACACAAUGUUUUCCAAAGUGUGUCAUUUCACAUUCUCACUAGUGGCACAUGAGAGUUCCAGUUCCUCCACAUCCCAGCCAGCACUUGAUGUGGUCAGUCCCUAAUUUUAGCUAUUCUAAUAGGCCUGUAGUGGUUUCUCACUGUGGUUGCAAUUUGCAUUUGCAUAAUGACUAAUGAUUCCUGAGCAUCUUUCUGUGUGCUUGAUAUUUGUUUUUCUUCUUUAGACAGAGUCUGUUCAAAUAUUUUGCUUGCUUUCAUUGGGUUUCUUGUUUUCUCAUCAUUGAGUUUUAAGAGUUGCAUAUUCCACAUAUAUUCUGUAUAUAAAACUUUUAUAAAAUGUGUGAUUUGAAGUUUUCUCUCAAACUGUAGCUUACCUUCUCAUUUUCUUAAUGGCAUAUUUCACAGAGCAGAAAUUCUUAAUUUGAUGAACUCCAAUUUGUCAUAUUUUUUAAUUUAUGAAUUACGCUUUUGGUGUUGUACCCAAGAAAUCUUUGCUUAAUCAAGGUCACAAAAGGGGACAGUCUCUGCUGUCUGAUAGGAAGGUGUUCAUGUAUUCCUGGAUUAUCCUUUUCAUAUGCGUAGAAUCUGUAACAAUGUUAUCUUUGUCUUUCCUGGCAUUUUGUCUUCUUUUUUUGGUCCCUGGUUAGUCUGACUAGAGGUUAACAAGGUUUACUAAUCUUUCAAAUAACUAGUUCUCUUGUGGUUUCUUGUAAAAGUUUUGCAGUUUUAGGUUUUACACUUAGGUCUCUGAUCCAUUUUGAGUUCAUGUAUGUACAUAGUGCAAGGUAUUGGAUUGAUGUACAUUUUUUGGAUACUCAAUCUUUUUCAGAACCAUUUGCUGUCCUUUCUCUAUUCAAAUGCCUUUGCAGCUUUGUCAAAACUCUCACCACCCCUAUUCAACAUAGUGUUGGAAGAUCUGGCCAGGGCAAUCAGGCAGGAGAAGGGAAUAAAGGGCAUUCGAUUAGGAAAAGAGGAAGUCAAAUUGUCGCUGUUUGCAGAUGACAUGAUUGUAUAUCUAGAAAACCCCAUCAUCUCAGCCCAAAAUCUCCUUAAGCUGAUAAGCAACUUCAGCAAAGUCUCAGGAUACAAAAUCAAUGUGCAAAAAUCACAAGCAUUCUUAUACACCAAUAACAGACAAACAGAGAGCCAAAUCAUGAGUGAACUCCCAUUCACAAUUGCUUCAAAGAGAAUAAAAUACCUAGGAAUCCAACUUACAAGGGAUGUAAAGGACCUCUUCAAGGAGAACUACAAACCACUGCUCAAUGAAAUAAACGAGGAUACAAACAAAUGGAAGAGCAUUCCAUGCUCAUGGGUAGGAAGAAUCAAUAUCAUGAAAAUGGCCAUACUGCCCAAGGUAAUUUAUAGUGUUAGCCAGGAUAUUCUUGAUCUCCUGACCUCGUGAUCUGCCUGCCUCAGCGAUGAGAGCUUCAGUAUACGAAAUUGGAGGGAAUGCAGCUCCAUUCAUGGCAGUCUAACAAUUCUCUGUAACAUAAAUGUGCACUCUUUCAACAAACAAUAUGCAAAGUUGAUGUAAUUUGUUUCUAUUUUCCUGUUUUAUUUUUGUUCUGAUCAUGCCAUUUGAAACAUACUUUAUGUCUAUUGAGUGUAAUGAUACAAUUUUGAUCUUAUAUUUUUUGUCUAUUUUUUCAUUUCUCUAGUAACUCAUUUUUGUCAUAUUUUAAAAACUACCAAUGCAAAGAAGUUUGAAACGUACAAUGGUCCUUCAUCACCAAUGGUUCUUCAUUAUCAAUAAUCCUUCAUUAACAAUGUUCAGUGAAGGUCCUUCAUCACCAUGUCCUUCAUCACCAUGUCCUUCAUCACCGAGGUCCUUCAUCACCGAGGUCCUUCAUCACCGAGGUCCUUCAUCACCGUGUCCUUCAUCACCACAUCCUUCAUCACCGUGUCCUUCAUCACCACGUCCUUCAUCACCGUGUCCUUCAUCACCACGUCCUUCAUCACCACGUCCUUCAUCACCGUGUCCUUCAUCACCACGUCCUUCAUCACCGUGUCCUUCAUCACCGUGUCCUUCACCACCGUGUCCUUCAUCACUGUGUCCUUCAUCACCGAGGUCCUUCAUCACCGUGCCCUUCAUCACCGUGUCCUUCAUCACCGAGGUCCUUCAUCACGUCCUUCAUCACCACGUCCUUCAUCACCGUGUCCUUCAUCACCGUGUCCUUCAUCACCGUGUCCUUCAUCACCGUGUCCUUCACCACCGUGUCCUUCAUCACCGAGGUCCUUCAUCACGUCCUUCAUCACCACGUCCUUCAUCACCGUGUCCUUCAUCACCGUGUCCUUCAUCACCGUGUCCUUCAUCACUGAGGUCCUUCAUCACCAUGAUCUUUCAUCACCAUGAUCUUUCAUCACCAUGAUCUUUCACUAUCAAUAGUUCUUUACCACCAAGUCCUUCAUCACAAUGGUCUUUCAUUAUCAAUGAUUCUUUACAAACAAGGUCCUUUAUCACCAUGAUCUUUCAUCACUACAGUCCUUCAUCACCAAGGUCCUUCAUCACCAUGUCCUUCACCAAGGUCGUUCAUCACCAUGUCCUUCAUCACAGAGGUCUUUCAUCACCAUGAUUCUUCAUCACCAUGUCCUACAUCACCAAGGUCCUUCAUCACCAUGGUCCUUCACCAAGGUCAUUCAUCGCCAAGGUCCUUCAUCACCAUGGUUCUUUACCACCAAGGUCCUUCAUCACCAGUGUUCAAUGACCCUUCCCCACAGGGAGUUGUGAACAGCUCAAGGAAGCUCCUGAACAGAUGAGGCAGCUGGUUUGUUGAGAGAAGUUGGAGUUAGAAAAGAGAGGAAAGUUGAGGAGGUGACGCAGAUGCCUGGCCAGUCUUAGGACACAAGAAGUGCAAACUGGGAGGAUUCUCGGAGAACUUGGAGAACAGUGUUCUCUUUUUAGAGGUAAGACCUAGAGAAACGUGUGAGUGGACAGGGACAGCUCUGGCCCCUGACACUGGGAAGAAAGGCCAAGUGUCCUGUGUUCCUCCUCUGCUAUCGUCCCUCCUACCAGAAGGAUGCACCUCCCCUGACCCCGCUUUCCAAACCCAAACACCGAGACCUCUGGCUGAGGUGAGAUCUGGAGCGUGUCUUCUCUCAUCUCCACCAGAGCCCUACAGCCACUCAUGAAAGACAGGUACAGCCCCAGCUGGGACGUCAGGGCAGCCGCCAGACAGUCUCUGCCCCCUCCCAAGCGCUGCCCAGAACGUGGACACUGACCCUGUUUCCUCAGAGUAAGCACAGACCUGCUGGAGGCCUGCACCC